rnacentral:rRNA from 1 species
UACAGAGGGGGCAAGCGUUGUUCGGAAUUACUGGGCGUAAAGGGCGCGUAGGCGGCCAACUAAGUCAGACGUGAAAUCCCCAGGCUCAACCUGGGAACUGCGUCUGAUACUGGAUGGCUCGAGUUCGGGAGAGGGAAGCGGAAUUCCAGGUGUAGCGGUGAAAUGCGUAGAUAUCUGGAGGAACACCGGUGGCGAAGGCGGCAUCCUGGACCGGCAUUGACGCUGAGGCGCGAAAGCCAGGGGAGCAAACGGG